AUGUAUCGAUCAAUUCGAAACUUCACCAUCCCCCCCGGGCCGACCCCGGGAAUUUGAACUUUUUGAAAUUUGACUGAUCAAAUUCUCCACCCCCUGUGCAAAAAAUGUCUUCAAAUGCCCCACUGUAACAAGAAAUUAAGCGUUCAAAUGCCCCACCUUCAUAUGAAAAUUAUGAAACAGUAAAUACAAAAGUACAAAAUAU